rnacentral:rRNA from 1 species
AGACGGAGGGAGCAAGCGUUGCUCGGAAUCACUGGGCGUAAAGGGCGUGUAGGCGGGACAGCAAGUCGGGUGUGAAAGCCCUGGGCUCAACCCAGGAAGGGCAUUCGAUACUACUGUUCUUGAGUAUGUCAGAGGAAAGCGGAAUUCCCGGUGUAGCGGUGAAAUGCGUAGAUAUCGGGAAGAACACCUGUGGCGAAGGCGGCUUUCUGGGUCACAACUGACGCUGAGGCGCGAAAGCUAGGGGAGCGAACGGGAUUAGAAACCCCGGUAGUCC